UACGUAGGAGGCAAGCGUUGUCCGGAAUUAUUGGGCGUAAAGAGCUCGUAGGCGGACUGUCACGUCUGCUGUGAAAAGCUAGGGCUUAACCCUGGCCUUGCAGUGGAUACGGGCAGACUAGAGGUAGGUAGGGGAGAAUGGAAUUCCCGGUGUAGCGGUGAAAUGCGCAGAUAUCGGGAGGAACACCGGUGGCGAAGGCGACACCCUGGACUCAUACUGACACUGAGGUGCGAAAGCGUGGGGAGCAAACAGG
rnacentral:rRNA from 1 species